UUCUCCAACGGCUCUAGUGACCUUCCCCACACAUAGGACUACAGUUCCCAGCGUCCUCCGAGGCCUUGCCUUAAUGUACGCGGUUUACGUCACGGCUGCACGUCACUGAGCGAGUCCUCUGUAACCGAGCCUAGCGCGGUAUCGUUGGGAGGGAGGGAAGAAAAUCGUUUCCUUUCUGGUUCUCAGUGCGGGUGUGGUAGUUGGAGACGGCCUAACGGGGCUGGGAAGCGUCGCGUCCCAAAGCGUCAACGGUAGCCCUUGGCAUGCUGGGAAUUGUGGUUCUGCCGUAGCCACCAUGAAAACAAAUCAAAGAGAAGCGAGUCAAGGGCAAUUUCCCAGGCGAGGGUCGGCUUCCAGGCAAGAGAGGCCGGGGGUGGUAGGGUGACGCACCUUUAAGGAUUGCAGCCAAAGUAAUGCUCAGUGGUAGUUGCAAGUCGUCCUAUCCAAAAAAGGGGACACUGAAAAGCUGCGAGGAGUUUGUAAAUAGCGGAAGCAAGUGAGACCUUCCACAAAAGCGUUGCAAUGUAUAUUCUCGCUUGCUAGGGAGAAUUCAUUUCAUCAGCCUUGCUUGUCCUCCCAACUGGCCAUUCUUCUCCGUUCUGGUUUUUCAACGGAGGGCAGAGCUACUCCAGAUACUGCACAGCUGGGUGGAGGAAGAGAGUUCACACCAUUACUUCUCAAGAGGGGCUUGUUCCCCACUGCAGUGCAGCUUUGCAGUCCAAGGCAUCCUGCACACCAUUCUCGUUCUUCUGUCCCAGCCUACCAAGAUGGUUCUGGUAAACAGACAACCUAGUCCAUCCUAUGCAGUGGAGGCUGCCCCACCAGCACCAAUCUAUCACUAGGGAUGGAGGAGAAACAUGAUUCAGUUUGCACUUGAAGGU